UGACUUUAUUGCCCACGAAUACUUCCAUCAGAGCAGAGUCUAAUACCAAGCAUACCUGCACGAUAGCCAGAGCGGAAAUAGUCAGGAUUCUUUCCAUUUAUUAUAUAAUGUCAUCUUUGUCUUUAUUUAUCUGUGAAUCUGCAAAGACUGGGCAGUGAUGGAGAAGUGGAGCGGUACGUGAGAGCUCCAUGAAGGUUCUGAUUUAUCCUGAUCGGCGGCCUCGAUCAAUGACACCAGCGAGUGAGCGAGCAUGCGUGAGGAGUGACUGGCCGAUGAAUGUAUCCGUCUCGCAAGAUCAGUGGAAAGGUGACUCCGAAGAAUCUGGGUUUACAAGUGGACUCCAUUCAACCCGGGACACACCCCCAUGUUGAGACUUAGUCCACAAACCAACGGGGGGUUGACGUCACGGUGACCACUACCCCUCAUUGUAGUCUCCGCUUGCCGUACCUGUAUAUUGCAGCAGGAGAUAUGUCUCAUAAAACGUUGUGAAACAGCGUGUAAUCACAUCCGCUGACUCAUGUAAUCUCAAAGGUUCCUCCCUGGUGACAGGUGUGAAGCCUGAGGCCCCCGUGCAGGGCCGGAUUAUCAGGAACCUCAAGCCACCUCUGACUCUAAAGCGGUCAGGUGACCUGCGGAGGGUUGAGCGCAGACCAUUUCUUGUCCAUGCGCUCUGUCUGCGGCAGACAGGUGGGGAAAAGGGGAUUUUUUUUCUCGCUUGUUUGCUUUUUUUUUUCUGCUGCUGCAGUCGAUAAAGUUAAAAGUCAAAAUUGUCCCUAUCAGUCACGCAGUCCCAGCGUGCCGAGGUGUGCACCGCUAGUCAACCCUGCACACUUGGCACACCCGAGCGCUGUGGGGAAAUGGGGUCAGCCCUACCCACACAUGCACUUUGAAACGGCACAGUGAAUCAAUCAAUUCAACUUUAUUUUAGACUGCGUGUCCAGAUCCGACCGGUGAGCAAAUAGCUCUAAAAUAAAAACAGAAAGUUCAAACGGAACCCAACACGAAAACAGCGCAGGGCACAGGCCGCGCUGUGCCGUACGGUGGGACAGCAACCAUUCACAGGACGGUCUGGAAAGUAUUGACUCCUGCAGCGCCCGAGCAUUUCACUGCCACUUCUCCCUCCGGCAGCGUCCCAGACACAAAGUGUUAUCUAACAUCCAUUUAUAUACAAGCUCACAGUGUGUUGAAAGCUUUUCUUGUCCUUAUCUGAGGCGCAUAGACACACACACACACACAGAUUGUGUCACCCCGGGCUCAGCUGGUCUUGAAAUAAUCAGGCCUCCGUGGUUAUCUGGCUGAU
ensembl:lncRNA